rnacentral:tRNA from 1 species
AAAAGUGUCAGAGUUGCAAUCAGAAAGAUGUAUUAUUUUAUACAGGCCUUC